AUCAAAAUUUCAUUUUCACUGGCAUAAUUCCUCUCCCAACCCAGAUGCAAAUUUACCAGCAAAAGACUGAAGGUCCGUCCAUGUAUAAUUAUGCAAGGGAUGGGCCAUUUUGCAUUUNNNNNNNNNAUGGGACUUGUGUUUUGAUUUCUUCUCCCGUUUCUUAUCGUCAUGGGAGCCAUGACCCCAGCAAGACUUCAGCUUCCGGUUUAUGUGCUUCAUAUCCUUUUCUGUAGGGAACUUGUACUUCUUUACCCAAGAAUCUAUGGCAUCUAGAGAUUCAAUGAGAUCUGAAAUCGUGUGCACAGAAUUCUGACGAGAAAGAAUGUUCCUGAGGUAUCUCUCAAAAUCAAGAACCUGGUGCAUCUCAUUUGCAAUUCGCAAAGCAGCCA
rnacentral:misc_RNA from 1 species